rnacentral:rRNA from 1 species
AUUGAACGCUGGCGGCAGGCCUAACACAUGCAAGUCGAGCGAGAGGCGGACGGGUGUGUAAUGUAUGGGGAUCUGCCCGAUAGCGGGGGAUAACUCCUGGAAACGGUGCCUAUUACCCCAUACUCUCGGAUGAACCCAUAUGGGAGUAUCUAGUAGGUGGGGUAAAGGCUCACCUAGGCGACGAUCUCCAGCUGGUCUUAGAGGAUGAUCAGCCACACUGGAACUGAGACACGGCCCAGACUCCUACGGGAGGCAGCAGUGGGGAAUAUUGCACAAUGGGCGCAAUCCUGAUGCAGCCAUGCCGCGUGUAUGAAGAAGGCCUUAGGGUUGUAAAGUACUUUCAGCGAGGAGGCGUUACCCGCAGAAGAAGCACCGGCUAACUCCGUGCCAGCAGCCGCGGUAAUAC